UGUCACCCUCCGCACAGCUUUGCCUUGUCUUCCCCGUCUCCUUACAUUCCCCUUCUGAAACACUAACACUGGUCCUAAAACUUUGGUGUGAAUCAGACUCACUCCUGGGGCAUUUAUUUAAAUACACACGCCUGACUGCAACUCUAUACGAUUCGGCAGAUCUGCGUUGGGUCCCAGACACUUUGGAGUUUUUGUUGUUUGCUUUUUUCCUGUGCUGGAGGACAUCCCGUCUGUCAGAUUCCUCUGAGUGUUCUAACAGCAUUUUUGAGAUGUACCCCACCGAUUGGAUCAAUUUUACCCAAAUCUGGUAAUUUUCCCUAAGCUUUUUCGGUUAUUUCAAGAGCUUCAAUGGCUCCUCCCAGAGUCUCCUUAUUGUCAAAUCCCAACGAUUCUUCAAGAUGAAAUGCCAGCUUUCCCCGCAGGAAGUCUGUCCUGCUCGCCUUUGCGCUUCAUUGCUGUUUAGCUGCACUUUUCUUGUGGCACCUUUUGCUUAUUUAACAAAUGUCCGAGCCGGCCGCCAGCCAAACGGAUUCCCCCUGUAGAGAGAGGAACAUCUUCACCAGUGAGUCUGCCCAGUCCCUACCCUUCAGCCAGAAUCCGGGACCAGCGCAACGAAUACUAUGGGUUCGCGGAAAUGAAUCAACUGUUCCCCCUAAAAGUCCAGGGCACCCGCACACUAUCAUUGGCCCAGAUGCCCUUCCCCAGCUGUGCAACGACAAGGCACUGGCAAAACUCCGCCUAAAACUGGUCCGGAGGUCCGAGAGCAGGGGAAUCCUGGCUGGGAAACAGGUCAGAGUGUGGAACACCACCGGCCUGGAACAAGCGACGCAGGAGGUGCGUCUGCGAUCCCGCCAGCUCCACCCCCGAGGUUCGCCUUGGCCUUCGAUUGGCUGCUCCACAAGCCCAAGCCCGCCUCACGUUCUCCACGUGACCCACUAGCCUCCGUGGGAUUGGCUAUCCGGCAAGUGCCGCGCUGGACUAUGGGAUGCUGGCCAGGCAGCGAGGCGGAGGGGAGGAGACGCGGCACGGUAGUGUGGACCGGAGUAAAGCCCCUGGCUCGAGACCUGGGCUAUUAUCAUCCAUUCUCUGCUGCCGGGCCAGGCCUAGUGAGAGGUUCUGGCGCAUAGGAAUUUUAGGAAGUAGCAGAGCGGGCUGUGGGUCUCUGCCGAGGUGUUUAGUUUGAGCCCUGGCUCCGGCCUUACUCGCCGCAAGGACGCCUUCAGUCUUUGCUGAAAUUGGUAGGGUUGGGCCUUAUUUUUAUUUUUAUUUUAUUUAAGGGUCCACUGUAUCUAGGCAUUUGUUGUCCUGCGCGGGGAAUGUGUGCAGAGCACCGUGGGGUAGAGGCUGUGGGGAGGAGGGCUUGGAGAUGCUAGCGGUGUGGUCCUUAGCCGCGUGAAGUGUUAGAGAGCUCAGCUGCUGAGUGAACCCACACCACCAGCUGUCAGAGGAUUAUCAGUCUUUUGGCCCUUGUAAGUGUGUGGAGGCCCCAGAGUUGUCACUUAUUGAGAUUCAGGAUCACGGUGAAGGCUGUGGUGAGAAGUCUGGCUCUAAAAUCUUCGUGGAGAACUACAUCAUUUCAAUCCUGAAUCUGGUUCAGUUUCCCUAUUGACUUACUGUUGUAUUAAAAAUGUAUUGCUAAAUUAA